CAGUAGCCACGGUAAUACGAAGGGUGCAAGCGCUAAUCGGAAUUACUGGGCGUAAAGCGUGCGUAGGCGGUUUGUUAAGUCUGCUGUGAAAUCCCCGGGCUCAACCUGGGAAUGGCAGUGGAUACUGGCAAGCUAGAGUGUGUCAGAGGAUGGUGGAAUUCCCGGUGUAGCGGUGAAAUGCGUAGAGAUCGGGAGGAACAUCAGUGGCGAAGGCGGCCAUCUGGGACAACACUGACGCUGAGGCACGAAAGCGUGGGGAGCAAACAGGAUUAGAUACCCCAGUAGUCCCUGUCUCUUAUAC
rnacentral:rRNA from 1 species